rnacentral:rRNA from 1 species
UACGUAGGGGGCAAGCGUUGUCCGGAUUUAUUGGGCGUAAAGAGCGUGUAAGCGGUUUGGUAGGUCCGCUGUGAAAACUCGAGGCUCAACCUCGAGACGCCGGUGGAAACCAUCAGACUAGAGUCCGGAAGAGGAGAGUGGAAUUCCUGGUGUAGCGGUGAAAUGCGCAGAUAUCAGGAAGAACACCCGUGGCUAAGGCGGCUCUCUAGUACGGUACUGACGCUGAGACGCGAAAGCGUGGGGAGCGAACAGG